rnacentral:lncRNA from 1 species
AGUGUCAUUAAGUUAUUAAUACAAUACAAUAAUUUCAAAGAGAUAUUUAUAAUGAUACAUCCCUUUUGAUAUUUCACUAGCCUAUCUCCCAUAGAAUAGUAGGUUACAAGAAAUCUCCAAAUAGUGGUCAUGCCUCCACCACUUGUAAUCAGAUAAUAACAUAACAAUGGUAACUGAUAAUUUUUUUCAAGUGGUUUAUCAAAAAGUGGGAGAAGCACUAUAAACUGCCAGAGUUUAGACUAUCAGAGAUUUAACCAAUUGCCACAAAUAAUAUGAAGGAUAUCCUCGUUGAAUCCCUCAAUUAAGUUACUUCACUAAAUCAAAUGUUAAAAUAGAGCAUGUGACCAAAAUGUUACAGCACAUGUAACCCACGCCAUAUAAGAUCUCUCGUUACGUCACGUUCUUGUUUUUUAACCUGUAUAAUGCAAAGCCCCUAGCUAGAUUGUUCUAUUGCUUAGAUAGAAGAUGAAACCAUAAAGAACUCUUUUAUCAAAACUCUAUAUGUCACUGAAUAAUUGAUAUUGAAACUUAUACACCUCUAAAUAUAACCACUGCUUACUCAUCAUGGCCUUGAAAGAAUUAUUUUCUCAAUAAAGUAACUAGUAAAAACACUAAGGAGGCAUCCGUCACCUCUGGACAAACCUCCGGUGUCCGCCACCGCCAACCCCACCAAGGCAGAGCAACGACAUCAUUAUGAGUGAUAAGAGCAAGGUGAUGCUCAAGGAGGCCGUGGUAGUGGGGAGGCUGGCGGUGGAGGUGGGCUUUAGCCCUAUCAAAGAUGAAAACGAAGAUAAGGGGGAGAAAGAUGAAAGAUAGGGGCUUCAUCCCUUUCUAGUCAUCAACGAAAGCUUAGCAGUGAAAAUGAAGAUGAAAGGGAGUGGGGAGAAAGAUCUUCAUAGUACCUCGGGUCCUCAAUGGAAUUGCAGUCGGCUGAUGAUAGGGGGCUCGUCCUCAAUGGAACAAGCUUCAGAGAAGACCGACAACUGGAGACCAAUGAUGAGGGACUGCCGGAUUAGAUUUUGGAGUGGCCGUGGAGGUGGAGACACAAGAAAUCGAGGAGGAGAAGUGGAGAACAAGGUACCCUAGCCCUAAGCUUCAAUUUGGGACUUAGGAAUGGCCGAGUGGGGGAGUCAGGACUUCGAUUUGGGAUUUAGGAGUCACCGAGUUGGGAGUUCGAAACUCUUUUGA